ACAUUGCGAUUCAAAACAAAACACAAAAGUCCAGUUCACCGUAUGACAGAACUGGCGACUCUGCUGGGGACUAGAAAGAGAGGUUGCUUUAAAAAACAAAAAAAAAACAAAAAAAAAAACAAAAAAAAAACAAAAAAAAAUAACAAGAUCACUUAUUUGAGUUGUCUGAUUUACUUUUAAGGGAUUGCUUGGGUAUUUUAUGCUUGAGUGAAAGAUCCUACACCCGGAUCUAGUGUACCUUAGGUAAGUAGCA
rnacentral:lncRNA from 1 species